GAGAUCCACUGGCCUCUGCUUCCCCAGCGCUGGGAUUAAAGGUGUGCGCCAGCAUGCCCGGCUUUAUAAUCCCUUCCUAAAAUGUCAGUGUCAGCCAGUUCUGUACACUCACUAUUUCCGUGGGAGCAACUGUCUCCUGCAACUCAGAAAACAGAGUCCCACCUCCUUGUCUGCGGUCUAUGUUCUCCAUCUGUUUGUCCCUUUCCCCGAUUCUCUCUUUGGCCGUGUCAGGGCAUCUGCACUCAGCUCCUCUGAGACAGAGCGUUUGAGGUUGUAGCCCCAUGUGAGGGGCUGGAAGGGCGGGCACAGGAAACUGCUUGCUGUGUGACAGGAAAUGUGAAGCUCGCUGGCCGCUGGCCGGCACCCACAUGACAAGCCAGGAGUGGCCUGCGCGUGCCUGGACUGAGCUAGGCGGGGACAGGAAUGUCACUCAGGCUUAGUGGCUACAAGCCUAGGUGAAAAACAGGAGUCCCACAGUCAGCAAGAGACAUUGCCUCAAAAGAGGACUAGACAGGGUGACUGAGGGAGAGACCCGGUGCUGCUGCCUGGCCUCCAUGUGUGUGGGUGGGCAUGCACACACACCAAAAACAAGGUUAACAAAAGAAUUCCAAAGUCA